CCCAUGUCAUAACUGUCAGCGUUAGUGUCCUAAGUAAAAAAAAAAAUUUAAAGUCAGCAUGCAAUAAUAAAAGCAACUUGUGUGUCCCACUGUCCGUGAUGUGUGUCUUUCCAUCACGGGCCUCCACCGCCUCUGCCUAGGUGGGGCGCGACCCAUGCUCUACCCAGUCCCUGGGAAGAUGGUCCAGUGCCCGGGGGCCUCUCGGUGGCAGGGUGAGAUCAUCUGGUACUUGGAUGCCCAGGUCACGAAGGACCCCCCUGGGGUCCAUGGACGGCAACAGGACUGUAGGUCUCGGGCCAUUGAAGAUCAGCAUUUUAAAGGGGAAUCCCC